rnacentral:rRNA from 1 species
GAUGAACGCUGGCGAGAUGCUUUACACAUGCAAGUCGUACGAGAGUUUUUAAUUCAAGUGGCGGACGGGUGAGUAACACGUAAGAAUUUGCCUUUAGGAGGGGGACAACAAUUGGAAACGAUUGCUAAUACCCCAUAUGCUUUCGAGUGAAAUGGAUUUUUCCGCCUAAAGAGAAGCUUGCGGCUGAUUAGCUUGUUGGUAAGGUAAUGGCUUACCAAGGCGACGAUCAGUACUGGUUUGAGAGGACGAUCAGACACACUGGAACUGAGACACGGUCCAGACUCCUACGGGAGGCAGCAGUGGGGAAUUUUCCGCAAUGGGCGAAAGCCUGACGGAGCAAUCUCGCGUGAGGGAUGACGGCCUAUGGGUUGUAACCUCUUUUUCUAGGG